ensembl:lncRNA
GGUGCUGCUUUUUCAUUCUUUUUUAUUAGUGACAUGCAGACAUGCAUGGAAACACACAGGUUAUGUAAGCGUGUCCUGUGUAACUGCUGGUUGGGUUGUGGUUAGUUCUCUCACAGGUGUGUCGAUUGUGAGCGGUCAGGGUUACUCAAGCUCUUCCUGUUGAACUCUCUGCUCGAGUCAGGGCUUUAGUCUCUCCAUCAUGAGCUGCUUAUCUGCUUCUCUUCAUGUCUCCAGCUUCGCUCAUCUGUCACUCUCCUCCACAGCCAAUAAAUAACACUGAUAUCAGGUAGCCGCGGUGUCUAUUUGAGUGGGAUAGAUUGGACAUAUUCAAGAAUUUGAAGGGAAUCCUCUUUGAUACUUCGAUGCAACACAUGCGAGAGCUCCAUUAAGUCUGAGCACUGAAAGAGCGCUUCCUCUGCAGGUGUGUGAGUUCUGAACGCCGCUCUGUUGCGUGUGCACUUAAAAGAGGCGGAUUGAUCUAAACCUGUAGUGAGGAGCUCAAUAAUCUCGUCUCUAAAAGACUCCGUGUGGACGCCCCCAGCGGACAGCCUGCGUCCCGUGGCAGCCUGAUUGGAUCCCCGCUGAGGGAACGUGUCCAAAACCGCUCCGAUGCUCCGACCCGUUAUCGAAAUCCCGCCAGAAACUCACCAUGAAGACGCACUGUCCUUUUGCACCGGAAAAGCUCAAAAAGACAGGCCGUGCAUCGAUUCGCAAUCGGCUACAAAGAAACCCGUUGAAAAAAGCAACGGAGUCCCACCGUGUGAUAAUUGCGCCGCCACGGAGGUACCUGCUCCGUCUGAAUCCAGUCUCCAGGCCUCCUCAAAGCUGACACGUCGGAUAAAAAAAUCAAGCCUGAAAUGAGAGUGAAGCGUUUAUCUCAAAGACGUCGAAGCAAAGCGAAAGGUGUUUCUUCCUCGUGCUUCACUUGUCAUAAUCAUUUAACCUGCACUGUAAAAAUACAACUGCACAUUUUCCAGUUAACAAAACGUUUUCAGUCUCAAAUACUAACACAUUGUUUUCUUGAAACUGCAUUCUAGCUAGUCAUUGUAAAUGGUCAACAUGUGACCGACAUGUUUGCCUUGUUUUUGUUUCAGUUAAUUGCUUGCACUGCUUUCAUCUCGCUUGUGACUUUUUCAAGUAUUUUACUUCUUGAAACUACACAAAAACCCUUGUCAGACUGACAAAUGUACCCCAA